rnacentral:rRNA from 1 species
AUGAUACAUUUGCAUCAUUCGAUAAAUUCCCUUCAUAUGCUAUGCCAUGAACACCUAUCUUUGGACAUGCAUUGCUUUACAUGUUGUUCAAUUUCGCCUUGUGUUGCUUCGAGUACUUUUCUUGCUUGCAACCACACUUAUACUACUGUUCAUGAGGAAGCCUUCAUUGUUUCGUCAUACUUGUUGGGAGAUCUUGAUAUAUUUUUUGCAUCGCGUGCUCCCCAUAUUUGUGUGCACAAUAUGUUUGACUUUGAUAUGAAUGCUAUACACAUUAAUACUAAUGCACCAUACACUUGUUACACUUUGCGUCCCAAUCAUAUUGAUCAUAAUUAUUAUCAUUACAUGAUGGAUGACGUAUUCUUAUACCAUGCAUCAAACUUAUUUGAGCAUUGCAUAUCUUGUUCUAACUCUCACAUGCACAUACACAUCAUGAUGGGUGAUGUGUACAUCUACCACGUGCACACAUUCUUUUGUUUGUGUCUAUGUUGUGUAGGACAUCACACUUACUCGUCAUUUUGGCAAGCACACGAGUUGACGAAACAAGCUCUUGAGAGAAAUGGAAGCGUGUGUUAUCAUGGAGUGCUUAUCCUCCACCCAUCCUCUUCGUGA